AAAUGAAUAGACGGGGGCCCGCACAAGCAGCGGAGCGUGUGGUUUAAUUCGAGGCUACACGAAGAACCUUACCUGGGUUUGACAUAGCGGUGGUAGGGAACCGAAAGGGGACCGACCUUCGGGAGCCGUUACAGGUGCUGCAUGGCUGUCGUCAGCUCGUGCCGUGAGGUGUUCGGUUAAGUCCGGUAACGAGCGCAACCCUCGUCGCUAGUUACACGUUGUCUAGCGAGACUGCCCGUGAUAAGCGGGAGGAAGGUGGGGAUGACGUCAAGUCAGCAUGGCCUUGAUGCCCAGGGCUACACACACGCUACAAUGGCCGGUACAAUGGGUCGCCAACCCGCAAGGGGGAGCCAAUCCAGCAAAGCCGGUCUCAGUUCGGAUUGCAGGCUGCAACCCGCCUGCAUGAAGUCGGAGUUGCUAGUAACCGCGCGUCAGCCAUAGUGCGGUGAAUACGUUCCCGGGCCUUGUACACACCGCCCGU
rnacentral:rRNA from 1 species